ensembl:snRNA U6 U6 spliceosomal RNA
GUGCUCACUUCAGCAGCACACAUGCUAAAAUUGGAACAAUACAGAGAAGAUUAGCAAGGCCUCUGUGCCACAUUAAUUCAUGAAGUAUUUCAUGUUUUU